CCUGGCGGCACUAGCGCGGUGGUCCCACCUGACCCCAUGCCGAACUCAGAAGUGAAACGCCGUAGCGCCGAUGGUAGUGUGGGGUCUCCCCAUGUGAGAGU
rnacentral:rRNA from 2 species